UAGAGUUUGAUCCUGGCUCAGAACGAACGCUGGCGGCGUGCCUAACACAUGCAAGUCGAACGGAGUGAAGGAGCUUGCUCUUUCAUUUAGUGGCGCACGGGUGAGUAACGCGUAGAUGAUCUGCCUUGGACUCUGGGAUAACAUCUCGAAAGGGGUGCUAAUACCGGAUAAGCCCACGAUGGCGUAAGUCAUUGCGGGAAAAGGGGGCCUCUGAAUAUGCUCCUGAUUCAAGAUGAGUCUGCGUACCAUUAGCUAGUUGGUAGGGUAAGAGCCUACCAAGGCGACGAUGGUUAGCUGGUCUGAGAGGAUGAUCAGCCACACUGGAACUGAGACACGGUCCAGACUCCUACGGGAGGCAGCAGUGGGGAAUUUUGCGCAAUGGGGGAAACCCUGACGCAGCAACGCCGCGUGAGUGAUGAAGGCUUUCGGGUCGUAAAGCUCUGUCUAGAGGGAAGAAAUGGUAGUCGGUUAAUACCCGGUUUUCUUGACGGUACCUCUGAAGGAAGCACCGGCUAACUCCGUGCCAGCAGCCGCGGUAA
rnacentral:rRNA from 1 species